rnacentral:hammerhead_ribozyme from 1 species
AUCCAGCUGACGCGUCACACAUAAGACGAAACGCGCAUCCUGGAU